rnacentral:tRNA from 1 species
CAUCAGAUGACUGAAAGCAAGUAAUGGUCUCUUAAACCAAUUUAUAGUAAUCUAGCAAUUACUUCUGGUGA